AGUGAGUGGAUUUCUGAGCUCGACGAGGCCCUUUGACCUUCCGCUGCUGCUUCUUUGGCUUGCAGAAUCUUUUGAUCGAGCGAGCUGUAUUUCUUUGCCAAAGCCUUCAUAAGGCAGCGGGCGAAGGAAGGAAUUAAGGGCUUCAUCGGAUGAGCAGAGGUUCUAUGACAACAGCGAGAAUGGCAGAGGAGAUUAGCAGGGGUGUUGCUAUGGAGUCUUUUUUGUCAACGGCGGCAUCAAAGAGGUGGACGUGGGCGUCGAAGCUCCGGUGGAUCCCAACCUCCAUCGAUCUCAUCAUCGUGGCCGAGAAGCGCCUCCUGUCCUUCGUCAAGUCGUGAAGGAAGUCGUCUUGGAUAUCAGCGAUGGUGCGCCCUCUGAUACUCUCCCUGGCUUUGCCCUCUAUGACUGGGUGAGUCUCAGCAUCCAGUCUCACGCCAUCCAGUUGAUCUGGAAUAUCUUCUCUGCUGCAUCUUUGUUUUAUUUUUGUUUUUCUUAUUUGUACAUCUCUAAUUGUUUCAGUAAGCAUUGCACAUGAGUAUGAAAAUUGAUUAGUGAGUACUUGGUCAUACUUUGGGAAUAGCCAUUGGUUAUUAUCUUUAAUGUUGGUCACUAGAUUCAAAUAAUAUUGCCUGAACUAGUCACAGUAUAUUGAAUGGAAGUGGGUCAUUACCAUUGUACAUGUACUUUC